GCUGUCCUACAGCUGUCAGCACCACAGGCACAGCACAGUUGCUCAGCUGUGCCUGUGACAUGGGGGCAAAGAGCAAGUGGCUAUUUGUAAGCUCAGUGUUUAGAAGCCAGUGGGCACUAAGAAUGUUUCCUAGCAUGACAUUU